UACGUAGGGGGCAAGCGUUGUCCGGAUUUAUUGGGCGUAAAGAGCGUGUAGGCGGCCUGACAGGUCUGCUGUGAAAACUCGAGGCUCAACCUCGAGAUGUCGGCGGAAACCGUCUGGCUAGAGUCCGGAAGAGGAGAGUGGAAUUCCUGGUGUAGCGGUGAAAUGCGUAGAGAUCAGGAAGAACACCAGUGGCGAAGGCGCUCUGCUAGGCCGUAACUGACACUGAGGGACGAAAGCUAGGGGAGCGAACAGG
rnacentral:rRNA from 1 species